AACGAACGCUGGCGGCAUGCCUAACACAUGCAAGUCGAACGAGACCUUCGGUCUAGUGGCGCACGGGUGCGUAACGCGUGGGAAUCUGCCCUUGGGUUCGGAAUAACAGUUAGAAAUGACUGCUAAUACCGGAUAAUGUCUUCGGACCAAAGAUUUAUCGCCCAGGGAUGAGCCCGCGUAGGAUUAGCUAGUUGGUGAGGUAAAGGCUCACCAAGGCGACGAUCCUUAGCUGGUCUGAGAGGAUGAUCAGCCACACUGGGACUGAGACACGGCCCAGACUCCUACGGGAGGCAGCAGUGGGGAAUAUUGGACAAUGGGCGAAAGCCUGAUCCAGCAAUGCCGCGUGAGUGAUGAAGGCCUUAGGGUUGUAAAGCUCUUUUACCCGGGAUGAUAAUGACAGUACCGGGAGAAUAAGCCCCGGCUAACUCCGUGCCAGCAGCCGCGGUAAU
rnacentral:rRNA from 1 species